CGUCCUCUUGUGCCCAGCUGGGUCUAAAUUCACUCUUUUUUUUUUCCUUCAUGUGUAACUCCGGAGUGACUCAGCUGACUUCAACGAAUGCCCUGUGGAACUGUGCUAGCUGGAAACCAGCCUCACUCCUGCAAGGGAUGCAGCUACCUGUGCACGCUUCCGUGUACCAUAUCCGUACCACCGUGGAACUUUUUUUUGCUGUGACAUUGUAAUGGGAGGUGGAGACACCUCGAGGAGAAGGUCGAAACAGACAGCAGCAGUUGCAGGCAGUAAUGUCUGUCUAUGACUGGAGAAAAUCCAGCCCCAAUUACAGAAAUGUCAGGAAGACUCUCCAUGUUUCAGAUCUGUUUUGGUACAUUUUCACUUCAUGAUGCUGAGUACUGAUGCUCUCAGGAGGUUGCAGAAAAAGGACGUAAAACCAUAAUAAGUUUUCAGAGAGGAUAUCAGCAUACCAUCUGAAGGUUAUCCCACUGUGGUUCAUUCUGUUCAGGGUUUGAAGGACAAAAGGAUCACAUUGAUUUCCAUGAUGUUUAAGGCUAAACACGUGAAACCAUGUUCUCACCUGGACAUUAUUUCUCCCUGACUUUACGAAACGUGACAACUUGAAAAUGCUCCAUCUGAUCAAUUGUAAACAUUCAGAUCAAGUGAUUGGGCAGUAGCACUCAUUUGUGUUCCUGGCAUACCAAUACAUUUUUUCUCCUCUCUGAGAACUGGAGUUAUCACAUCACUGAAAGAUCUGUGGCUGGACAAAUAAUACAGAGCUUGUAUGCAAUCUGUGCAAAACUGAAGGAAAACAGAUCUGAAGUUCAGAAUGGAGGAAAGGAUGGUGGACAUGCAACAACAGCAGGAGUGAAGGUAUGCAUGGAAAUGCUGAUAGUGACCUUGAGAGGAGGUAGAUGGGGCACUGUGCUGCUGUUGUAGGAGGGAAUGAAGGAUUCUCAA